rnacentral:lncRNA from 1 species
UGCUCUGAAAAAGACUUAUCCAGGAGACGGUCUUCCAGGCUAUCCACUAAUGGGACCCAUGAGAUCCUAGAUCCUGAUUUGGUUGUACCAGAUUUGGUUGAUACAGUUGAUGCAAAUCUUCUGCAAGAUACAUCAGCUAGUACCAAGGAAUCUGAAGAAGGUCAGUUGAAAUCUCCUUUGGAAGCUGGCCAAGUCUCAUCUGCACUAACUUGCCACUCCUUUGGGGGUGGAUUAGGGGCUGCAGGCUUGGAGUUGAACUGCAAGUCAAUGGGAGAAAACACUAUGAAAACAGAACCGGCAUCUCCUCUUGCUGAAUUAAAAGAGAUUUCAGCUGUAGAAGGUCCAUAUUUAGAGUUAACACAGUCACUCUCUCUCUCUAGAUAUAUCUAUAUCUAUAUAUACACACACAUAUAUGCACACAUUAUGUAUAUGUAUGUAUAUAUAAUGUUUUUGCUUUGAUUGUGAACUAAAGGAAAAACUUUGCUAAUGAUUUUUCUUUUUAUUAAUAAUCUUAUUUUUAAAAUUAUUUUUAAUUCAAUAAUUUUGUAAUCCUAGGGGUUGAACCCAUAGCCUUUACACUGAGCUACAUUCCCAAACUUUUUUUUUUUUUUGAAAUAUUUUGAGACAGGGAUUCAUUAAGUUGCUAGGUUGCCCAAAC